UAUGUACUGAUGUAACACUGCAAACAACGCGUAGGUAGGUGCGGUCGCACCGCACGCGCACGUGUGUUGUAUACUGAGCGCUUGGUGGUCGCUUGUAAACCGUUUAUUUUCGCGACUUUGUGUAUCAUCUAGACAACACGAAAUAAGUCUUUGGGGAAUCGCUGGCACACCUACGUGAUAUGGAAAGCGGGCUCAAGAGAGACUCAAGUUCCAGUGAGGACCCAAGUGACAGCCACUCUGAGAGUGACGAGGAGCAAGAACAGUGGAUUGAGAGGUAGACAAGCUGUCACUUGUCAGUUAUAUUUGCCAUCUGUGAAGAAAAUCUUUUUGCAGGUGUUAAAGGUGAUAGCAGCGUGGUUGGUCCCCUGCCUGUUG